GCCAGCGCGGCCAACUCCGCCCCCGGGUGGCGCACGUGCGCGAAAGCAGUCAUCUCGGGGCGUGUCCGAGGCUCGGCGGGGGCGUGUCCUGAGAUGAAGGGGCAGGGCCGGCGCCCGCCCACUAUCUUCGCGUCUGCUGCUAGUGUAUGGUGGUUUCGGCGUCCUAAGCUCGAUGACCCUGCUAUGCAGCAUGACUACCGGGGCCUGAAAUUAAUAUUGUUUCCUAUUGAUACGAAUGAGUCGAGGUAUACCUUCUCUUGAAAAAGUGAAUGCUGCCAUACAGCAGCCCCUUACGUCCGCUUAGGCGCAGAAAAGAUGGUGCAGUCUACCCACUCAAGAACCGGCCUUGUCUGUCCAGUGUUGAGAUGCGUCACAAAAUCCCGAACUACACAGAUAACGGUUCCCAUCCUCUCAAGUUGUAAACGAGGAACUACAGCCCUGCGAGCUGAAAUCAAGACUUAUCACCUAAGUCUCAUGACUAUAAAUCAUCUGUAAUUGAUGAAGAAUCCCAAGUGUCUCUUGACAGCCCCAACUUCUGCCCUGAGCUCCAGGCUUAGUAUCCAACUGCUUAUUGGACAUCUGCCUGGAAUAUCUGGUGAUGACUCUGAUUGGAUAAUUUCCAUGGAGGUGUUGGUCCACCCAUUCAGGGUGGG